GACGAACGCUGGCGGCGUGCCUAAUACAUGCCAGUAGAACGCUGAAGGAGGAGCUUGCUCUUCUGGAUGAGUUGCGAACGGGUGAGUAACGCGUAGGUAACCUGCCUGGUAGCGGGGGAUAACUAUUGGAAACGAUAGCUAAUACCGCAUAAGAGUAGAUGUUGCAUGACAUUUGCUUAAAAGGUGCAAUUGCAUCACUACCAGAUGGACCUGCGUUGUAUUAGCUAGUUGGUGGGGUAACGGCUCACCAAGGCGACGAUACAUAGCCGACCUGAGAGGGGGAUCGGCCAACCUGGGACUGAGACACGGCCCAGACUCCUACGGGAGGCAGCAGGAGGGAAUCUUCGGCAAUGGACGGAAGUCUGACCGAGCAACGCCGCGUGAGUGAAGAAGGUUUUCGGAUCGUAAAGCUCUGUUGUAAGAGAAGAACGAGUGUGAGAGUGGAAAGUUCACACUGUGACGGUAUCUUACCAGAAAGGGACGGCUAACUACGUG
rnacentral:rRNA from 1 species